rnacentral:rRNA from 1 species
UACAGAGGCCCCAAGCAUUACCCGGAAUCAUUGGGCGUAAAGGGUGUCCCGGCGGCCAUAUUAGUCUCUUGUCAAAUCCGUGGGCCUAACCUACGGUUCGCAAGGGAAACGGUAUGGCUAGAGGGCGCGAGAGGUGCACGGAACUCAUGGUGGAGGGGUGAAAUCCGUUGAUAUCAUGGGGAACACCAAAUGCGAAGGCAGUGCACUGGCGCGUUCCUGACGCUCACACACGAAAGCCAGGGUAGCGAACGGG